rnacentral:rRNA from 1 species
GAUGAACGCUGGCGGUAUGCUUAACACAUGCAAGUCGAACGGACUCUUCGGAGUUAGUGGCGGACGGGUGAGUAACGCGUGAGAAUCUGGCUUUGGGUUCGGGACAACCACUGGAAACGGUGGCUAAUACCGGAUGUGCCGAGAGGUAAAAGAGAAAUUGCCUGAAGAUGAGCUCGCGUCUGAUUAGCUAGUUGGUGAGGUAAAGGCUCACCAGGGCAGCGAUCAGUAGCUGGUCUGAGAGGAUGACCAGCCACACUGGGACUGAGACACGGCCCAGACUCCUACGGGAGGCAGCAGUGGGGAAUUUUCCGCAAUGGGCGAAAGCCCGACGGAGCAAUACCGCGUGAGGGAAGAAGGCUCUUGGGUUGUAAACCUCUUUUCUUAGGGAAGAACAAAAUGACGGUACCUAAGGAAUCAGCAUCGGCUAACUCCGUG